UGGGGUGUAGCCAAGCGGUAAGGCAACGGACUUUGACUCCGUCAUUGCGUGGGUUCGAAUCCCGCCUCCCCAGCCA
rnacentral:tRNA from 1 species